AUAAACAAUAGGGCAGAGGAAGCAAUCAGAUAGGCAUUUGUUUCAGGUGAGCAGAGGGAUGACUUUCUGUCCCACAUCUGUGAAGAUCAGCUGUUGGUUUACAUUGCCAGGAUGAAAUUCAACAGAACUAAUUUAGGGUGAAGAUCUUGAGGCCCACAAGGAAUUUCCUUGUGGGAAAAUUGUGAGGAAGGAAUAGGUCCUUCUGUCACGGGGCACAGGACCCUUGACCACAAAAUGACGUGAGUUACCACUGACCAUUUUCUGGGUCUUGAUCUUGUGACUCCAAAUGGAUGGUCUCCAGGACACAUGUGCAUGAGUUCCUCUAGGAAACCACGGUGUACAACUGCUGGGUUGCAGGCCCAGAGUUCUUUCCACUUCUCUAUCCUCCCAAGUAGGGUCCAGCUGGCCCCACUAAGGCAGCUGGCCUUAGUGCUGCCAUGCUGAGAGCUCUGGGAGGGGCAUCCCAGGGCAGACAGGCCCAGGCCAGCCACCCUGCCCCAGGCAUUUCCCAGGACUCAUCAGGCACCCAGCGGCCCCUCUCAGCAGUGAGCAAUACCAGAAAUCUGCCAGCUGGC
rnacentral:lncRNA from 1 species